rfam:Culex pipiens quinquefasciatus supercont3.1817 genomic scaffold, whole genome shotgun sequence.
CAAACGGCCCUUUUUAGGGCCACUAAAUUUCUCACAAAAGAGUUAU